ACUGACUGGGAGCCCUGCCUGGGCUCGGUCCUGCCCCUGCACACGCGUGUGUCGCGCACACACACACACACACACGCACAGAGCUUCUCUUGUGCCCUUCCUGUCCCAGCCUUCCUUGCACCUGUGGGUGACGCUGACUUGGCGCUGCUGUCCCUCCUCCUUCCCAGACGGCCCCUCUGCCCACAGCAUCUCUUCUGCAUGUGAGAUUAAUGUUCGAAACGAAUCAUCUGCUUCUCCCGGCUGCGGAGUCCAGGAAACAAAAGAUGGAUGGCUCUGCACAUGGGAGGGGGAUUAAUUAGGAAUGACAAAGGACGUUCCUGGGUGCCACUCACCUUGCUGCUGUUGCCCACCGUGGGACGUGCCCCAACAAGUGUGUGAUUGACAGGCUUCGGGGUCACGAAGCAGCACCACGGAGCCCUGUCCCUUCUUAGCAGCUUGGGGCCACGGGGCAGGAGGAGCUGGAGUCCCUGUCCCCACCUCCUGCAGCCCCUGGCCUCACCACAGUCCAGGGGUGCAGCAAGAGGAGGUGAAGCCAACUCCUCUCUCUAGAGCUGGGCGGGUGGCAGUGGAGCUGGGACAUGAGGGGUCCCCAGGAGGCUGCGAAGUCCUCAUGUCCCCACCUUGGUGUAGGCGUGAGUUGCCUGGGGAACUCAGGCAUGUCCUGGGCCUUUCUGAGCCUUGGGUCCUCAGCUUCAGAGUGGGGUGGAGCACCCUGGGAUGCAGGCGGCUCUGAGGAGGGACUUAGGGCCAGGGCCAGGGUGGUCCUCACCUGAGACGCUAGUAAUUGACCGUGACAUGGCCAGCUCCCUGGCAGUGGCCCCGGAAAGCCUGGCUUCUUUGGGGGUGGUGCCAGCGGGGACCGGCAGAUGGGUGCAGGACUGGGUUGCAGAGGGCUCUGCCUGGGGAAGGGGCCCGGGCAUUUCUGAUAGCCCAGGGAGGCUGCACCAGCCCCAGAGCUGGGGCAGCAUCACCGUCCCAGCCAGGCGGUGGCCUCCCCUGUAGGAAGGAGACGCCAGAGGGUCAAGAGGAGAAGAAAAGGCCUGGCCUGGCAGUUCCACUCCACCGGGCCUUUGCUCUUCUUCCCUCAGAGGGCUUCCGUGAUGGCUGCCCAGGUGGGCAGCAGGGUUCCUGCUUCAGUGUCCCCCAGGCCCCUGUCCUGCAGAGUGGGCCGCCUGGGGUCCUUGGAGAGCUGAGUUUCCCAGGGGUCUGGACGCAGCAGAGGGUGUGAGCGUCUUGGUCUAGGUUUGUCUCUGUGGCCUCAUCUGUAAAAUGGGCCCCCAGCCCACGUGGGCA
rnacentral:lncRNA from 1 species